rnacentral:rRNA from 1 species
GGGCCCGCACAAGCAGUGGAGCAUGUGGUUUAAUUCGAUGAUACGCGAGGAACCUUACCAGGGCUUAAAUGUGCUUUGACCGCUCGAGAAAUCGAGCUUCUCUUCGGAGCAGAGUACAAGGUGCUGCAUGGUUGUCGUCAGCUCGUGCCGUGAGGUGUCGGGUUAAGUCCCAUAACGAGCGCAACCCCUAUCUUUAGUUGCCAGCGAGUAAUGUCGGGGACUCUAAAGAAACUGCCCGCGCAAGCGUGGAGGAAGGUGGGGAUGACGUCAAAUCAUCACGGCCCUUACGUCCUGGGCCACACACGUGCUACAAUGGUAGAUACAGAGGGCAGCCACUUGGCGACAAGGAGCGAAUCCUUAAACUCUAUCUCAGUUCGGAUCGGAGUCUGCAACUCGACUCCGUG